CCCAGACAGCCAGGAUGUUGGCUUAGAAGCAGCCAUCAUUUAAAGAAAGCGUAAUAGCUCACUGGUCGAGUCGGCCUGCGCGGAAGAUGUAACGGGGCUAAACCAUGCACCGAAGCUGCGGCAGCGACACUGUGUGUUGUUGGGUAGGGGAGCGUUCUGUAAGCCUGUGAAGGUGUGUCGUGAGGCAUGCUGGAGGUAUCAGAAGUGCGAAUGCUGACAUAAGUAACGAUAAAGCGGGUGAAAAGCCCGCUCGCCGGAAGACCAAGGGUUCCUGUCCAACGUUAAUCGGGGCAGGGUGAGUCGACCCCUAAGGCGAGGCCGAAAGGCGUAGUCGAUGGGAAACGGGUUAAUAUUCCCGUACUUGGUGUUACUGCGAAGGGGGGACGGAGAAGGCUAUGUUGGCCGGGCGACGGUUGUCCCGGUUUAAGCGUGUAGGCUGGUUUUCCAGGCAAAUCCGGAAAAUCAAGGCUGAGGCGUGACGACGAGGCACUACGGUGCUGAAGCAACAAAUGCCCUGCUUCCAGGAAAAGCCUCUAAGCAUCAGGUAACACGAAAUCGUACCCCAAACCGACACAGGUGGUCAGGUAGAGAAUACCAAGGCGCUUGA
rnacentral:rRNA from 1 species